rnacentral:rRNA from 1 species
UACGUAGGGGGCAAGCGUUAUCCGGAUUUACUGGGCGUAAAGCGCGUGUAGGCGGCUGGUUAGGCGUGAUGUGAAAUCUUCCGGCUCAACCGGAAAACUGCAUUGCGAACCGGCCUGGCUAGAGUGCAGGAGAGGGAAGCGGAAUUCCAGGUGUAGCGGUGAAAUGCGUAGAUAUGUGGAGGAAUACCGAUGGCGAAGGCAGCCCCCUGGGACGUCACUGACGCUCAUGCACGAAAGCGUGGGGAGCAAACAGG